rnacentral:rRNA from 1 species
AACUGAAGAGUUUGAUCAUGGCUCAGAUUGAACGCUGGCGGCAGGCUUAACACAUGCAAGUCGAGCGGGGGAAGGUAGCUUGCUACUGGACCUAGCGGCGGACGGGUGAGUAAUGCUUAGGAAUCUGCCUAUUAGUGGGGGACAACAUCUCGAAAGGGAUGCUAAUACCGCAUACGUCCUACGGGAGAAAGCAGGGGAUCUUCGGACCUUGCGCUAAUAGAUGAGCCUAAGUCGGAUUAGCUAGUUGGUGGGGUAAAGGACCA